rnacentral:lncRNA from 10 species
CAAGAAUGAACUCCGUCACCCAUUGAUAAGAGAGAGCAGCCUUAAGAAGUUGAUGACACGGGGUGACCACCAGUUAUCUUUUUCCUAGCUUCCACUGGUGACUUAUCCAGCCCCUAACUUGUCAUUAAUAAUUCUUGGGAAUUUCAACAUUUCUAUGGGAAACACUUUCAGUAUUCUGGAUUUUGCUUUAUCAAUUUCUACCGCAUAAUGUUGCUUCAGCUGUGCAGAAGUAGGCCUACACUUCAAUAUUUUUCCCUCUGAGUGUAAUUCUGAAAGUCAGAAUCCUUUUUACUCAAUCACAUUUCGUUACUUCUGCUAGAUAAGCCAGUCCUGUCCUAUCAUUGUGACUUCUCUUACUCAGACUCUUCUCUACUAUUUUGUUCCAGAAGCCCUACUCUCCCUUCCCUUUCUAGCUUAUACUUUUUCAUUUUAAAUUGUUAUUGUUUUAUUUUUUAAUGCUUAUUACUUACAACUUUUAUUUGUUAAAGUUAGAUUACUUUGAUUUAUUAUACUUGUAUAGAAAGACGAGUGGGGAAGGCUGUUAAUAUUUAUUUAAAAAGUAACAUGUGUUGAAAGUUAUCCUAAGAAUUUUGAAAUAGUUAUCUCAUUCUGCAGGAGCACCCUAAAAUAUAGGUAGAUGGUAAUUAUUUUCAUGUCUAAUAAGAAAAUUGAGUCUCAUUGAAGUAAAAUUACUCAAAAAGACUGUGUAAGACAUUGUUCCAAACUGCAUGGUUUUAUGAUUUUGUUUCUGUGAUUGAUUGUGUUAGUCUACCAAUUAAUACUCAAAAUUACUUGAAAAUACUAUGUAGACAUUGAUCUAAACUUCAUGGUUUUAUUUUGUUUUUGUGAUUUUGUUUAUGUAAUUGGUUUGUUUUAGUCUACCAAUUAAUACCUAGGUGAUUUUUACCAAGCAUUAUAUUCUUGUAUUAUCCACAUUAAAUGAGAUAAUGCACAUAAAUGAUUUGUUUUUAUAGAGCCUGGUACCAAGUGAAUGCAAAAUGGAUGCUACCUUCAGUUUUUGUUAUUAGCAUGCUUUGAAUGAUUUUCAAUGUGAGUUCUUAAUUCCAGUAAUUCAUUCCACCUUACUGAGUGCUUUUACAGUUAAUACAGAAAUAGCAAAUGAAUUAUACUACUGCAUAUUUUUUAAAAAACUGGGACACACAAUAUCUAGCUCCUUUUUUAACAAACAAAACAUGCUGUCUUG